AGUCGAACGUGAAAGCACUUCGGUGUGAGUAGAGUGGCGGACGGGUGAGUAACGCGUGGGAAUCUGCCCAGUAGUGGGGGACAACUACCGGAAACGGUAGCUAAUACCGCAUACGCCCUAUGGGGGAAAGGCUUCGGCCGCUAUUGGAUGAGCCCGCGUCAGAUUAGCUAGUUGGUAGGGUAAAGGCCUACCAAGGCAACGAUCUGUAGCUGGUCUGAGAGGACGAACAGCCACACUGGGACUGAGACACGGCCCAGACUCCUACGGGAGGCAGCAGUGGGGAAUAUUGGACAAUGGGCGAAAGCCUGAUCCAGCAAUGCCGCGUGUGUGAAGAAGGCCUGCGGGUUGUAAAGCACUUUCAGUUGGGAAGAUGAUGACGUUACCAACAGAAGAAGCACCGGCUAAAUCCGUGCCAGCAGCCGCGGUAAUACGGAUGGUGCGAGCGUUAAUCGGAAUUACUGGGCGUAAAGCGCACGUAGGCGGCUAAGUCAGUCAGAAGUGAAAGCCCCGGGCUCAACCUGGGAAUUGCUUUUGAUACUGCUUGGCUAGAGUUUGGUAGAGGAUAGUGGAAUUCCAGGUGUAGCGGUGAAAUGCGUAGAUAUCUGGAGGAACAUCAGUGGCGAAGGCGACUGUCUGGACCAAAACUGACGCUGAGGUGCGAAAGCGUGGGUAGCAAACAGGAUUAGAUACCCUGGUAGUCCACGCCGUAAACGAUGUCAACUAGCCGUCGGGUCUAUUUACAGACUUGGUGGCGCAGCUAACGCGAUAAGUUGACCGCCUGGGGAGUACGGCCGCAAGGUUAAAACUCAAAGGAAUUGACGGGGGCCCGCACAAGCGGUGGAGCAUGUGGUUCAAUUCGAUGCAACGCGAAGAACCUUACCAGCUCUUGAC
rnacentral:rRNA from 1 species